rnacentral:rRNA from 1 species
GACGAACCGUGCGAACGUUAUUCGGAAUCACUGGGCUUAAAGCGCGUGUAGACGGAUGGGCGCGUCGGCCGCUGAAAUCCCCCGGCUCAACCGGGGAAGGGGCGCCGAAACGGCCCGUCUGGAGGGGGGUAGGGGGCGCUGGAACUCACGGUGGAGCGGUGAAAUGCGUUGAGAUCGUGAGGAACGCCCGCGGCGAAAGCGAGCGCCUGGACCCUUUCUGACGCUGAGACGCGAAAGCCAGGGGAGCGAACGGG